rnacentral:rRNA from 1 species
GGGGGGGGCAAGCGUUGUUCGGAUUUACUGGGCGUAAAGGGCUCGUAGGUGGCCAAUUAAGUCGGACGUGAAAUCCCCAGGCUCAACUUGGGAACUGCGUCUGAUACUGGUUGGCUUGAAUUCGGGAGAGGGAUGCAGAAUUCCAGGUGUAGCGGUGAAAUGCGUAGAUAUCUGGAGGAAUACCGGUGGCGAAGGCGGCAUCCUGGACCGAGAUUGACACUGAUGAGCGAAAGCCAGGGGAGCAAACGGGAUUAGAUACCCCGGUAGUCCUGGCCCUAAACGAUGAAUGCUUGGUGUGACGGGUAUCGAUCCCUGUCGUGCCGAAGCUAACGCAUUAAGCAUUCCGCCUGGGGAGUACGGUCGCAAGGCUG